UGCCACCAUCUUGGAAGCGGCUCACCACCAUUUGGAAGCUCUGUGCGCAAGGACCCCCGGUAACAUUUGCAAGAUAUUCUGCCUUUCUCAUCUUACUUAAUCUCAUGAUGACACCAAUAUUUCUCAGAUUUUAGAGAAUACAUUCACAUCUACCAAGAAUUUAAGAACCUCACAUUUGUGGACUUCUAAUAUGGAGAAUCAGUUCAAGGAUUGGUGAGGAGUUCCAGAGAGAUGGAGGAGAAACCCAGAGAGGCUGAAUAAAUUGCUAAAGGUUUCACAGCUGGUUAACAGCGGAGCCAGGACUAGAAUCAAGAUCUUAGCAGAGAUGGGGUUUCGCCAUGUCGUCCAGACUGGUCUCCAACUGCUGACCUCAAGUGAUCUGCCCACCUUGGCCUCCCAAAGUCCUGGGAUUACAGUCCUAGGUCAGAAAGGAGAUGCCUGGGGGCAGGGUGGAGGUUGCUGUGUCUGAAUGUGAAGAGGGAAAGUAAUAUCAUAUGACAAAUCUUAUGAGGAGCCUAUGCCUGCUAGGCAUCUUCAAUGUGAGAGUAACAACUUGCUGACAUUGAUUUGGAAGAUACUGAAGAGUAGAGAGCAGUUAAGAGACAAAGGCUUUUGAUGGAUAGAGCGCUUGGUCUAGAGCUGAUCAAAGAGAAAGCUUAGGGAAGACAGCCUUAUUAUUAUAUUUUUUCUAAGAGGCUGCAUGUCUAGUGGUUGUGGUGAACAUUUCAAAACUUAUCUGAGAAAAUAACAGGGUAGAUGUUUGUCUCUUAGGAUGCAUUCAUGAAAAUCAUACUGACAAAGUCUAUCUGAAAACUAAUAAGAAAGUCAAGGUUAAUAGGAGAUAUUUGUGUGAGAAUUCCAAACAACAUUCACAGAGGUUCUAACUUAACUUUAUGUGAAAACGCACCACAAUAAGCAAAACAAAUCCAUUGUAAUUUAAAUCACAGUAAUCUGUGUAUUUGGCCCCUUUCGUUCAAAUAUAUAUAUGUUUAGUUUUCAAAUAUUGAAUUUAAUCAACCCAAAAGUACAAAAAUUGAC